AGAGUGUGAACAAGCGCUUCAUCAGUGAAGCUUCUCCAGAUAUCAAUAAUGUUGGGAGCUCCACCAAAACCAAGCAACGAAAGAAGAAACUGACUGACAAAUUGGGACCUCAGUGGACCAAAGGAGAGCUUGAGCGUUUCUAUGAUGCUUAUCGUAAGCAUGUGGGAGACUGGAAAAAGGUAGCUGCUGCUGUCCGGAAUAACCGGUCUGUUGAGAUGGUGGAAGCUCUCUUUUCUAUGAAUCGGG